rnacentral:tRNA from 1 species
AGGAAUGUGGCUUAGUGGUAGAGUGCUUGCCUAGCAUGCAUGAAGGCCUGGGUUCCAUUCCUU